CUCAGAAAGAGAAAGGACUGAGUCACCAGCAGGACCCCGAACUGGGACAAUUAUAGCCAUGGAGUGACAGGCUGGGGUCACUGUCCCCUAAGAGGCCCUGGGCAGGCCCUUCUGGUCACAUGAAGCCUGCAAACCUCAAGCUCCUAAGGACCUGAAUGCAUUCCAAGAGGCUGACCUAGCAGCCCCAGAGCUCCAGCUGAAGGCCUGGCAGUCCCGGAGGUACUACAUUGCUGGGCAGAGGACACAAGGCAUUUCCAAGGCAGCUUGGCCUCCUGCCAGUGGGUCCCCAGAUGCCAUGCAAGACACACCUGAACGAGGGAGCAUCAGAGGAUCCAAAGCAUCUAGAAGAUGCAGGCUAGCUUCCCCUCAUGCCUCAAUAAAGCCAUGAAACACAGCAACUUGAGAUGCAAGGGGCGAUUCUGUCCCACUUGGAGAAAGCUAGUCAGUAAGAACAAAGAGAACACAGGCCCAGACUGGGAGUCCUCAGAGAAGGCAAGAGGGCCACAGUGUCCUGCAGGAGCACCAGGCAAGGGAAGAAAUACCCUAACUGCUGAUGGUUUUGACAUCACUGCACCGGCGAUCCAGGAGAAAAGACCAUUGCUUGACUGGGGCAGAAAACCGCUCUGAGCAAGAUAAGGAACGAUAAGGUUUUCUGGAAACUUCCUGUGAGAACCUUUGUUCCAGUCCAGCCUCUUCCUCACUGACGAGCACGACCCACUGCAUACUGCACAGGUGGGAAAGACAGAUCUCUCUCCAACCUUCGUCUAUCACUUGGAGACUGUGCUGGGUUUUAAUACAGGCACUCUGGCUCCUGGCAUGUGCCUGGCUCUAUGACACUAUCAGAAAAAGAAGGGUCACUUUUUUCUGGAAAGAAGACCUGGCUACUCUGCAAAUUCCUCCUGUCUCUUCUAGGAGACCACCUCACCUCCACUUCCACUCCUCUACGCAAUGAAGGACUCCAGGGCCAACCAGUGUGGGGCAGGACCACGAGCGGGAAGGAGGGAGGAACCGACUGAGAAUGAGACUUGAAAGCACAUCAGUGAGAAGCCGAAAAGUUUUCUAUUUGAACUAUGACAAGUCUCUAGAAGAAGGGACGGUGUCUAAAUAGACAUGCUCACUUCUCUCUAAUGAAGACAGCCUCAUGUCAUCAUUGCAGAUCAACACUUUUCCUUGGAAGUAGUUAGAAGACUCUUCUCUCUGGACUCCAUGAUGGCUCCACCCACCCACAUGGCCCUCCAACCCACUUGUCUUCUGAAGUGAGGAUGUAAUGUGGAGUUGAGAUAGAGGGGCGGGGAACUAGCUCCACGAAUGUCCCUUUGGUGGGCAUCUUUUCCCCAAUUACUCAAUCCCUUUGACUUUCCAUGGGAUUAAGACAGCACCAGUGUUCUGGCUUGAAUGUGAAAUAUGCUUCACAGGAUUGCUUUUUGAAAGCUUGCUUGUUCCCCAGUGAGGAGCAAACUGUGGGAAGUGUGUAGAGAGUCUUUUGUGAGGUAGGGUCUAGCUGGUAGAAGCAGAUCACAGGGUUGGGGGAACAGGCCUUGGGAGAUUACAAUGUCCCCCUACCCACUUUAAGCCUUAACUCUGUGUGCCCUGUCCAUCACCCCAUGAACACGCCGCCACUCAUCACACCUUCCCUGCCAUGAUGGACUGUAUCCCCUGAUACUGUGAGCCAAUGCAAACCCUUUUGCCCUUAUGUAAUUUUUAUCAGGUAUUUUGUCAGGGUGGUGAGAAAAAAUAAUAUAAGUAGCACUGUAUAAAAUGUCUCCCCUAGAGUAAUAUCAACAUACACACACACACACACACACAGAGAGAGAGAGAGAGAGAGAGAGAGAGAGAGAGAGAGAGAGCAGUUCAAUGACAAGACUCCUAUGUCCAGUUGUGUGUGGGGGGUGAGUAUGGGUUACAUAUAUACAUGCAUAUUUAAACAUGUGCUGGUGUAUAUGUACAUGCAUGUGUGUAGAGGCCAGAAGUUUUCAUCAGGUGCCUUCCUCCAUUUCUCCCCACUUUAUUUACUGAGAUAGUCUCUUGCUGAAUCUGGAGCUUGUUGAUUUGACUAGUCUAGCUAGCUAUCUCAUCCCAGGAACCUCCUGCCUCCACCCGCCAUGUUCUGGACUAUAGGUGGACCUUCAUGCUUGUAUGUGAGUAUGGGAAAUCACUAAGCCUGCAUUCCCAACCCCUCCUCUGCUCAGUGUUAAGGACCUGCACCUACAGAAACAUAUUAGACCUCAGCUUCUCACCCAUGCCUCUCUCUCCAGUGCAUAUCACCAGACAUAUUCUAGAUCCGUGUGUGUGUGUGUGUGUGUGUGUGUGUGUGUGUGUGUGUGUUGUAUGUGUGUGUGUGUGUGUGUUGAUUCAACUGUCAAAAACUGAAACACAGGGCAGAGAGUGUGUGGCCAAAGUGCCUACAACCCUCAUCCCAGUGACAAGUCCUUUGCCUGAGCACCCAGGCUAGACGAUUGACUUCUCAUCCUUUAGUUUCACCUGAGUUGGCUGUAAAUGCAUUGGCUGCAACCCAGCAGUCCAUCCAUAGCAAACAGACCCCAGUUCUCAGACACAGCCUGGUGGGCUGCCCAGCAGGUCUCCCACUACGUACUAUCUGAAUUUCCCUGCACUGACUUCUCCCUCAGCAACGAUAUGAGUAUCCAUGAAUAAUCAUGAAAUAGAAGGAGAUAAUUGAUAUUUAGCUCUACCAGAGGGAAGCACUAAGGAGAAGUCAUUCUUCAAUCCAGGGACUGAUAACUCAUUAGCUGGCAGCAGGCUGUGAUGGGGAAUGUUCUUCUGUAUAUAUGUUUGUCUUAUUGGUUGAUGAAUAAAAUACUGAUUGGCUAGGCAGGAUGAUAGGUAGGACUAGGAGACAAGGAGGAUUCUUGGAAGUAUAGGCAGAGAGGAGUCAUCAUGUGAUCCCAGGAAGUGACGUAGUUGGGCAGAAACUGCCACUAGGUAACCAUAGAGGACUGGAGGUCUGUACAGCUAGGCAGAAUCAGAAUAUAAGCAGAGACAAACAGGAAACCGUUCUCUUCUCUGCAGAGAUGUUGACCAGUAGCGAUGUAGCAGGCAAAGGAGUUGCAGGUCCGGUCUGCAUUCCCUGGUAAGCCAAGACCAUGUGGAAAUACAUAGAUUAGUAGUUAUGGGUUAAGAAUAAGAAGCCUGAGUCACCAGCUAACAGCUUUAUGCUAAUAUAGCAUCCGUGUGUUUCUUUGGGGCAGAGAAGGGUGGUGGGACCAGCCGGUCAAGAAAACUCACAUUACAAAGCUGAAUUAGAUGCACUAGGCGGUUGGUGACCAGAGCUGAAGAAGAGCUUGUCGGUUCCAAAGUCACUUCCACAGGAUUCACAGAUGCUCAGCCCAGAAGACCAUGCUGAGCCUGCUCAGAGGGACACUGUUACUGCCUGUUCAAGUUUUGGUUAGGCUCUGAGGACAAGUUCAGAGGUGAGCAAACUGGAUUUCCAGGAGCUAAA
rnacentral:lncRNA from 1 species